rnacentral:rRNA from 1 species
CGUGGGUAACCUGCCCAAGAGAUCGGGAUAACACCUGGAAACAGAUGCUAAUACCGGAUAACAACAGAUGAUGCCUAUCAACUGUUUAAAAGAUGGUUCUGCUAUCACUCUUGGAUGGACCUGCGGUGCAUUAGCUAGUUGGUAGGGUAACGGCCUACCAAGGCGAUGAUGCAUAGCCAGUUGAGAGACUGAUCGGCCACAUUGGGACUGAGACACGGCCCAAACUCCUACGGGAGGCAGCAGUU